rnacentral:rRNA from 1 species
AUUGAACGCUGGCGGCAGGCCUAACACAUGCAAGUCGAACGCGUGGCGGACGGGUGAGUAUUGUCUGGGAAACUGCCUGAUGGAGGGGGAUAACUACUGGAAACGGUAGCUAAUACCGCAUACCAUCAGAUGUGCCCAGAUGGGUUUAGCUUGUUGGUGGGGUAACGGCUCACAAAUGCGACGAUCCCUCGCUGGUCUGAGAGGAUGACCAGGCACACUGGAACGGAACCACGGUCCAGACUCCUACGGGAAGGAGCAGAGGGGAGAAUUGCACAAGGGGCGCAAGCCUGAUGCAGCCAUGCCGCGUGUAUGAAGAGGGCCUUAGGGUUGUAAAGUACUGUCAGCGGGAAGGCGUUACUCGCAGAAGAAGGACCGGCUAACUCCGUGCCAGCAGCCGCGGUAAUUC